rnacentral:rRNA from 1 species
UACGGAGGGAGCUAGCGUUAUUCGGAAUUACUGGGCGUAAAGGGCGCGUAGGCGGCCUGCUAAGUCACACGUGAAAUCCCUCGGCUCAACCGGGGAACUGCGUGUGAUACUGGCGGGCUUGAAUUCGGGAGAGGGAUGUGGAAUUCCAGGUGUAGCGGUGAAAUGACGUAGAUAUCUGGAGGAACACCGGUGGCGAAGGCGGCAUCCUGGACCCGAGGAUUGACGCUG